UACGGGGGGGGCAAGCGUUGUUCGGAAUUACUGGGCGUAAAGGGCUCGUAGGUGGCCAACUAAGUCAGACGUGAAAUCCCUCAGCUUAACUGGGGAACUGCGUCUGAUACUGGAUGGCUUGAAUUCGGGAGAGGGAUGUGGAAUUCCAGGUGUAGCGGUGAAAUGCGUAGAUAUCUGGAGGAACACCGGUGGCGAAGGCGGCAUCCUGGACCGAUAUUGACGCUGAUGCGCGAAAGCCAGGGGAGCAAACGGG
rnacentral:rRNA from 1 species